UGAGGAAUAUUGGUCAAUGGGCGAGAGCCUGAACCAGCCAAGUAGCGUGCAGGAUGACGGCCCUAUGGGUUGUAAACUGCUUUUAUGUGGGGAUAAAGUGCGUGACGUGUCAUGCAUUGCAGGUACCACAUGAAUAAGGACCGGCUAAUUCCGUGCCAGCAGCCGCGGUAAUACGGAAGGUCCGGGCGUUAUCCGGAUUUAUUGGGUUUAAAGGGAGCGUAGGCUGUCUAUUAAGCGUGUUGUGAAAUUUACCGGCUCAACCGGUGGCUUGCAGCGCGAACUGGUCGACUUGAGUAUGCAGGAAGUAGGCGGAAUUCAUGGUGUAGCGGUGAGAUGCUUAGAUAUCAUGACGAACUCCGAUUGCGCAGGCAGCUUACUGUAGCAUAACUGACGCUGAUGCUCGAAAGUGCGGGUAUCAAACAGG
rnacentral:rRNA from 1 species